ACACAAAAAAAAGUUAGCUGAUACAGUCCUUAUCGAAUAGAAAAAAAAAGUUUUGACAUCUGAAAUUUAUUUAUAUCGUUUGUGUCUGUGAUAAGAUCUUCGAUAAUAAAUAUCAUUAUUAUGUGUGUUGGGCCCCCACUAUAUUUCAUCCACUAACUCUCCCAUGCCAUAAGAUCCAAAAUCAUGAUUGAAUUACAUUUUAUUGAGUUCCAUUUACUUAACCUACUCUCCUCCAUCAUACACCCCCCCCUUUGGUUCACCUUUACAAAUCAACCAACUAAACACAUUUUGAUUUUGAGCCAAGCCAUUUUUGAUUUAUUUUUUUUCCCAUUUUGCUCUUAUUUAUCGAUGAGAAUUGUGUGUAUUUUUUGCUUUUUAAUAGUAAAAAGAGAUAGAUAGCAUAAUAUGAUCAUCAUCGUAUAAUAAUAAUGCAUAGCAUACAAAAGCAAUCAUCAUCAUCAUAUAACAUUGUGGAACACAGAGUCGUCUCACGGUUUUUCUUUACCACUUUUUUUCUCUUUCUCUCUCUCUCUCUUUCAUUGUUGCUCGAUUUAUCGAAACACACACACACAUAAAAUACAUACACAUAUAGCCAACAGCAGCAAUGAUAUAAUAAGAAAUGUUGAAAGAAUAAAAUAAAAUUCACAAUACCAUUUAUUCAGAUUCUCAUAGAUAUACUCUAUUGAAAUUUACACAUUCUUACCACAUAAUUAUAAAAUUCGAAUCGGAUUACCUAUAAACUUUUGACUAACCGAAACUUACUUGAUAAGACAAUCGCUACAUUGGAAUGGAGUUUCACCCGUAUGACGGCGCAUAUGUUCUUUGAAAUGUGAUGGAUGACGAAAAUGGCGUGAACAUUCGGAACAAAUAAAACGUGAUUUGUUCAAA